GUGGAUUAGAUACCCUAGUAGUCCACACUGUAAACGAUGGAUACUAGGUGUGGGAGGUAUCGACCCCUUCCGUGCCGGAGUUAACACAAUAAGUAUCCCACCUGGGGAGUACGACCGCAAGGUUGAAACUCAAAGGAAUUGACGGGGGCCCGCACAAGCAGUGGAGUAUGUGGUUUAAUUCGAAGCAACGCGAAGAACCUUACCAGGGCUUGACAUCCCGCGCAUAGUCUAGAGAUAGAUGAAGUCCCUUCGGGGACGCGGUGACAGGUGGUGCACGGCUGUCGACAGCU
rnacentral:rRNA from 1 species